ACUCCUACGGGAGGCAGCAGUGGGGGAUAUUGCACAAUGGAGGAAACUCUGAUGCAGCAACGCCGCGUGAGGGAAGAAGGUCUUCGGAUUGUAAACCUUUGUCCUCAGGGACGAUAAUGACGGUACCUGAGGAGGAAGCUCCGGCUAACUACGUGCCAGCAGCCGCGGUAAU
rnacentral:rRNA from 1 species